rnacentral:miRNA from 1 species
AAAAAUGAGAGUGAGAAUGGAAGUGAGGAUGAGAGGAAAGAGUAACAAAAGUGAAAACAAUUUCAAAUAGAUUUCAGUUUUUUGUUUUUGUUUUCGCUUUUGUUACUUUUCCCUUCCAUCCUUCCCUCUCUUCUUUCCUCUCAUUCUCAAU